GACGGAGGAUGCAAGUGUUAUCCGGAAUCACUGGGCGUAAAGCGUCUGUAGGUGGUCCAAUAAGUCAACUGUUAAAUCUUGAGGCUCAACCUCAAAAUCGCAGUCGAAACUAUUAGACUAGAGUAUAGUAGGGGUAAAGGGAAUUUCCAGUGGAGCGGUGAGAUGCGUAGAGAUUGGAAAGAACACCGAUGGCGAAGGCACUUUACUGGGCUAUUACUAACACUCAGAGACGAAGGCUAGGGUAGCAAAUGGG
rnacentral:rRNA from 1 species